rnacentral:rRNA from 1 species
UACGUAGGGGGCGAGCGUUGUCCGGAUUUAUUGGGCGUAAAGAGCGUGUAGGCGGCCAGGUAGGUCCGUUGUGAAAACUCGAGGCUCAACCUCGAGAUGUCGAUGGAAACCAUCUGGCUAGAGUCCGGAAGAGGAGAGUGGAAUUCCUGGUGUAGCGGUGAAAUGCGCAGAUAUCAGGAAGAACACCUAUGGCGAAGGCAGCUCUCUGGGACGGUACUGACGCUGAGACGCGAAAGCGUGGGGAGCGAACAGG